rnacentral:misc_RNA from 1 species
AAGUCGUAACAAGGUUUCCGUAGGUGAACCUGCGGAAGGAUCAUUACCAUAUCCAAAAAACUUUACCAACCCACCGUGUGAACUGUUUUCUUUUUGCUACACUUGGGGUGAGCCGGCCGUUACCCAUGGCCUAAUCUACAAACAUUGGCCUGGUGUCAUGUUUGGAGUGGGCUAUGCGAUGAGGGUUGGGUUUGCCCCACCUGUGCGAAAAUUUUCAAAACAACCCCUGGUCAAACCAAAAAAUAUACCCACUCUGAUCUAAUUUUUUUUAACUUUUUCUCUUCGGAGAAAAAAAAGAAAAAAUUACCACAAACAAAACCAAUAGACAACUUAUAACGGUGGAUCUCUUGGCUCGU